ensembl:processed_transcript Gm14634 predicted gene 14634
AGCGGGACGGUGAACGGAGAAGGGUUGGCGGAGAAACCACCCGUCUCUCCUCUCGGGGCCCCAAAAAGGCGGCCUGCGGCGACCGCGCGCUGUGACUGUCCAACGCACGCUCCGCCCAUAGGCGACCCUGGCGCGACGCGUGGGAGAAAACGUUACAGUCUCUUUUUUUCCUUUUUCCUUUUUUUUUUUUGUCAAUUGUGGGACAAGAGCAACGACACAAUAACGUCAUUUGAAUGCAGUCUCCUGUGUGCCGCGCCUUUGCUGUCACCCAAAGCCCAACAUUGAAACACAUGUAGUCCUUAAAUCCUUUGCUGGUGUUCUUGGCUUUUGUCCCUGCCCUUGCAGUAGCCGCCCUAUCCUGCCUGGGUUUUCAUCUUUCCAACUACAGCCUCUUUCUCCCAAAAUCCACAUGUUUUGUCUGUUUUCUAAUCUUGGCUUCUGUUUGAAACGAACUGCAAGCCUUUAAACAUGUCUGUGGGUUCCCUCCACCUCCAUAGAUUCGGAAGCAAUUGGUCUUUCGUGAUGUCUGGGCUUCGAAAGUUUUUUUGUGUGCGUUUAUUUUUGUUUUUUGUUUAGUAACCUAGCUAUUCUCACGCACAAGUCACGGAAAAAUUAACUGUUAAAAGCGUCUAUUUUUGUGACCCUACCUAAACAUCGUUUUGCAGCUUCAUCUCUCGCAGGUGUAACAGAUGCUCAUGCUGAUCGUAAGGCCCAAGGAGACUUUUCAGCACAGCCUCUGAAGCAGUGGCAUUGGCAGCAUCUCCUCUGCUCUCUGGGAACCAGUUGGCAACCUCUGGAAGCAUUUUUCAUUGUCAGUGUUUCCUGAGCCUUAUAUGUUUGGAGUGUUUGCUAUAAACUGGGACUGGGCUCCACAACUCUAUGGACUGGUUGGGCUCUGAACCAUCUCAUGGUCAUUAAGUGAAUCUGUCGCCUGGGAACCAAAUGACUGGGAAGAGAAAGGCCAUCCAUAGGGCUGGUGCUGAAGCAUUGCUUCUACAGCGUUUCCAGCCCAUUGACCACUCCACCACAUUCAGUUAUCAGAACCAGUCUCAGCCAAGAGGUGGAUUGUGAUGGUGCCUGCCUUCAAUCCCAGCACUUGGCAGGCAGAUCUCUAUGAGGAGUUUAAGACCAGCCUGGGCUGCAUACUGAGACCCUGUCUCAAAACAAACAAAAGUGGACUUGGCUUUGGUUUCCAGCUUCCCUUUCUUCAAACUUCCUCAAGGCCACUGUCUCCCUCUUCUCCAGGAGAAAAUGGAUCUUCAUCUCCUUGUAUCUUGCUCUCCUUUUAUACCCAUGCUGACUAAAUUUUUCGCCAGCUUGACAUAAACUAGAGUUAUCUGAGAGGAUGUGUUCCAGGUCCCCAGACCUCUAGCAUAACUCAUAGAAGUACAAUACAGGUCAUAGAAUCCAGCAUGUAGAAAGCACCACUAGCCAAAACAAUAACCAAAAGCUAAUCCAUCGAAGUCCUUAAAUGUACUGACCUUGCUUAUUGCCUUCUAUAGUUCUGCUUCUGGCUAACUGUUCUUGUUAACUGAACUAUGUCAACAAGAUCAUGGUUUUUGUGCUUCUAAAAGCUCACCCUAAGAAAGGCUCAGUGCUACCCUGGGACCCUGAACACCCAAUAUACUUGCUGGACAGAUAAUAAAGACCUUUUAUUGGCUU